GUUAAGAUCACAAACAGUCAAGGAGCGACAGAAGUGUCAUUAGCAGGGCCUCUGCGGCCAAGCCAGGGGUGGUCUGGCUGUGCUGGGACCCAGCCUUGAGGUGCCCGGAGGGAGUCCCCAGCAUGUAGCCCCGGGGAGCCCAGCGUGGCCCAGCACUCCGUCUGCUCUUUAUUCCUCAUUUAUGGUGGGGUCUUUCUCGUCUGACAAAAAUCAAUCCCGUGAAAGCAGAAUCUUUGCCUGCGUGCAGCCAAGGCGUGGGCUGCUGUCAUGGGCACGGAGGUGACAGUCACUGGCUUAUCUGAUGUCGUUGGCACCGGGCUGUCCCGUGCUCCAGACACAGCUGUGGGCACUCACACGUACGCUCUGCCCUCUCGCAGAAUGGAGAAGACAGCCCUGCCUGACAGCCCUGCUCCCCGAGUCACCUGCCACACGGAUUCCUGCCGUCCCGCAUGCAGACAGCACCGGGGCCCGAACUCAUGGAGGGGCCUGGAUAUCAACCGAGCCGCUCUGGGAUCCCAGAGUCUGCGGCAUGGAGCCUCUCCCACCAAGAGGUGGAAGAUGCACCCGAGAGGGGACCCCAGGGACAUUCCCAGGGCUGCUGUGAUGUCCAGCUCCGCACUUCCUGGGCAGGUCAGAUCACACGCUGCCCUGAGCCACUUGCAACAAGGGAUUAUCAUCUGCUCAACUGUCAGAACCGCCAGAGAGUCCCAAGAUGCCAAGACCUGGGAAGCCGCCCUGUCUGUCUGUCACUUUCUCAUCACCGGGACAAGAGACCUAAGCCCAAAACUUGAAGGAGGAGAGGUUUAUUUUAGCCCAGGUUCCAGUCCAUGGUUGGUGCUCCAAGGCCAGGUGGCACUGCAGAGAGGCCUGGCAGAGAAGAGGUGCUCAGGACAUAGGGGAUUCACAGCUGCUCAGGAAAUGGGGAGAAGGGAGGAGCCAGGAGGGAGAUGACCUUUUGGCCACGCCCCAGGACCACCCCUUCCACAGGCCCCGCCUCCUAUGCAGUCAUCCUCCAAUCAGCUGUCAAAGGUUCAGCCUCUGAAUGCACCAGGCUUCAGGGGAUGACACCAACACGUCUGCUGUUACAGGCUGCUUGUGUGUGUGUCUUUGCAGGAUCCAUCACACCCUCCCCAUGGUGCUCACCAGCCUGUCUACCCUUGACGACCUGUGUGUUUUCCUUCUGACGUUCCUCCACAUCUGGGCCUGGUGACCCUGGAAGGCUGUCCCCUUGGCCCCAGGGAUACCGGUGCCCAGGAAGAGAAGCUGACCAGAUGCAAGCCAGGGACAGCACGUGGGCCGCUCAUGUCCCAGAGCCCUGACAUCAUCCAAACUAACUGAUCUACGUGUGUCACCCUCACCACACCUGCAGAACCAUAGGGGUCUCCCUUUACAGCAGCCCCAAAGCAGGGAGCAGCAGGUGUGUGGAGCUAUGUGUGCGGUCUGUCUUCUUAGGUAUGCGGGCAUCAGGUGUCCUCUGCUCUGCUGCAGGAACCCUCAGCCAGGAGCUCCCGCAGGCUUCAACCCACACAACAGACCCGCCACACGGAAACAGUGUCCCUUGCCCAUGCCUCGAGGCCAUUUAAGACUCUUGGGACAUGAGCUAAGUGAGCUUGGGUUGUGAAGUUGAUCCUUUCAGAUGCUUGAUACCAAACCCGGAGUGUGCUGCAGAGAGUACGCUGGGAGCCCCUUGACCCUGACCAUCAGCCUUGGAACAGUAAAUUCUAAUCCUGGAACCGGAAGUUCUAAGCCUGGUCCUCACACUCAUACUGAAGGUUUUCCCGAGAGAUUUGGCUUCCUCUCUUUUCUCUUCCUCUUCUUUGACCCCCCCCACCUCCUUUCCCCUCUUCCUUUUCCUUCUUGCUCCACCAUACUGGGAAUUGAACCCGGACCCUUCUCACUGAGCUACAUCUCUAAAUUUUUGAGACGGGGACCUGCUAAAUAGCCUAGGCUAAGCUUGAACUUGCGACCUUCCUGCCUCAACCUCCCAGGGUGCAUGCAGGAUUACAGGUGUACACCACUACUCCCCCCACGAUGCUAUGCUUAUAAACAGUGGCACAUUCUCUAGGGAGAAAACCCUGGAGGGCAAGGCUGCCCAGAGGCUCCGGACCCUCGGCUCCAGGGACCUGACCAGUGGUGGAGAACCGUGGCGGGGCCUCUGGUCUCUCGGGUUUCAUCGGCUUCCCUGGGGCAGGGGUGGUGCUGCAUGCUGAAUCUGCUUCCUCUUCUGGCCGGGGCAGGGCCUUCCUGUGCCCGGAAAGGAAGGUCCAGCUGCUUGGGAAGAGCCUAAGCCCAGCCCCCUAAACAAAGGGCUGCGCUGACUCAUCUGCUCCUGGGCUGUGACUGCCAAUGUCAACUCAGGUGGCGACUUGGGACCUGGGUGGGAGGUUGAGCGGCUGAGCUCAGCUGGGCCUCAGGAAUCCGUGCCAAAUCUAAAAGCUGUUGCUUCUUCUUGAAGGGGCUCGUGCUGGCCCCCAAGGGCCCCUCCAGACGCCAGCCUGUGGGGGCCCCACGUGCUUCUGGGACGCCUGGACCCUGAGCUCUCGGGACUUGGGGCUGAAGCCUUCUGAAGCCAGAGCAGGGACAGGGCCACCUCAGAGCGCAUCCUCAUCCAGGCGAAGCACGUCUGCCAGGCAUCGCCUGCAGCUGUGCCCCACGAGUGCUCAGCUAUUCUUUCCUCUCCACGGGCGUGGAGCUGCAAGACCCUGGUCCUAUUUGUCCUGCCCCUUUCUGUCCCAGUUCAGCUGCUCAGAUGCCAGGUAGUGGCUGGGGGCUGCUGCUGCUCCUGGCCAUGGGAGGAAUUAAGCCAUCGGCUGCUGCGCCUAGAAACUGAACUCCUAGAGUAACCUGUAAGCCCGAUCAGACUCACGCUAAAGCCCCUGCCUGCCCCCCACAUGCCACUGGUGGCCCAGCCUGUGGUCUCACCUCCUUUAUUUUUUGGUGUUUGGAGACAGGGUCUCACUUUCAAGGCUGGCCUUGAACUCAGGGUGAUCGUCUUGCUUCAGCCUCCCAAAUGCUGGGAGCAGAGGUGCCCACUACCGCUAAGCCCUCUCCUGUCAAGCCUGGAGCCUAGGGAAGCUGGGAAAUGACCAGUUCUUAUUCUUGGGGUCUCCACAGGCCCAGGGCACCUCUCGUGGCUUCUGGAGGCCCAAGGCUUCCCAGUCCUCACAGCGUGGAGCCGCCAGCUGUGUGAGCAGGGCCCAGAGGACCUGAAUCCCCAUAACUCUACGCCGGCGUUUAUAACAGAGUCAGAACACUCUCCUCCUAUCCACAGCCCCUGCAUUAAGCUGCACACCCUGCCCUCCUUCCUGAGCUGAAUCCCUGUUUAGAAAGGCACAUUCGAGUUUUUCUUUCUCCGCUCUCUCCCUUAAAGCAAGAUUGGAAAACAGCAGAGAGCUCCACCAGCGCAGGGCCAGAGCAGGCCUUUCAUCACCAGAGGACUUGGAGAACCGUUCAGAGAGCCCACUUCCUGUCCAGAGAGGAAGUGGCAGGGUCUUGACCUCCAGCAUACCCUCGCCUCCAGUCACGCUGCAGCCUGGGAGAUGGUGAUUCAGUUUCCAUUUAUAAGUGAAACAAGUGCCUGUUGCCUCCUCUGCUGGGGGAGGGAGUAGGAAGGAGGAAGCAAAGCUUCUUCCAAACAAUUCAGCCCUGUUUAGCUUCCAAACAAGUCUGCAGGGGGAAGGAUUUCCUCAUGUUCAAGUUGGGGGGCAGCUUCUCCCAGGAAAGGCCUGGUUGUUUCUCUUCUGUGGUUAAGAAAAAGCAAAAGACAAAGACAAGACUGCAGUGACCACGUGACUCGGCAGAGGCUUGGCUAUAAUUGAAUCUCCUGUUCCCACAGUGCUUUGUGCUUUCAGAGAACUGUCACACAUGUUCCUGCAGAUUCUGGGGACUUCUGUGGGAAGCAGGCAAGGCAUCCGUGUCCUCGUUUAACUUGCUAAGCAGAACAAUGUGCUCAUGUUGAGCUGCUGUGGCAGUGGGGCCUGGCUUGUGGUCAGAGAGAGCGGUGGCCCAGGGGACGCGGACUGGACAGGACACCAGGAGCCCUGAUUUCAGCCUCCGUCUCCCUGCAUGACUCUCUGGACUUUGAUUCAUUCCCUGUGACGCAGGAUAACAGGACAGUGUCCUCGGGGAUGUGCCGAGCACAUGUGCGAGACAGGAUUCGUGCUCUGGCGGCCAUCACAGUGUCACGUCGCUUCUAGACGGCUCUAGAUGGUUCUGGGUGGAGCACAUCGGCUCUAGAGGAGAAAAACCUAGAAUCCUGGAGGACUCCCUUAGCCACCAUCACCCUGUAGCCUGGAGGAGGCUUCAGCUCCACGCUCCCUCUACAGCCUGGUCCAGGGCCUCUGGGACCACUCAUUGCCAAGGCUUGGUGAGCAAGGGCCUGAAGCCCAGGGUGCCCCUCAGGUAAAGCAGGGGCACACAGGUCAGGUAAUAGCAAGCGGAGCUCUGAAACCAGGAUCAGGAAAAGUCCCUGCCUUGCCUUCAAGGAUGUGUCCUCUGAGGGGUCAUGUGGCCAAAUACUGAGAAAGUGACACAGACACGCAGAGUUCGAAGAGACCACUGAGUAGGGCCACCUGUGACCUCUCUUGAGGGGAGCGAGAAGAAAGACAUGGGCAGGAAGGCCACCAGGUGCCACUGUGGCCCAUGGAGUAAAGCAUAUUUCCUGAGGAACCCCUGCUAGUCAUGCACAGAGAGCUUUCCCUUGUAGUUAUGGCUUAGAUCUAAAAUGUCCCUUGAGAGUCAUGUGCUCAGAGGUGGGGCCAGGUCAGAAGAGGCAGGUCACUGGGGUGAGGGCUGGAAGGGUGCAUGCUUGUCCUCAGUGCCUCCCUUCUCUCUGCUUCCUGGCCGCCAUGAGGUGAGCAGCUCUCCUCCACCAGGCCCUUCCGCCAUGAUGUUCCUGCCUUGGGGCAGCUGACCGUGGACUGAACCCUCUGAAACCAUGAGCCCCAUAACCCUCUCCUCCUUUAAGCCACCC
ensembl:lincRNA